GGGCCCGCACAAGCGGUGGAGCAUGUGGUUUAAUUCGAAGCAACGCGAAGAACCUUACCAGUCCUUGACAUGGGUAGUUUGGUUAUUGGAGACAAUUUCCUUCAGUUCGGCUGGCUACCACACAGGUGCUGCACGGCUGUCGUCAGCUCGUGUCGUGAGAUGUUGGGUUAAGUCCCGCAACGAGCGCAACCCUCAUCUUUAGUUGCCAUCGGUUCGGCCGGGCACUCUAAAGAAACUGCCUGCGAUGAGCAGGAGGAAGGCGGGGACGACGUCAAGUCAUCAUGGCCCUUAUGGACUGGGCUACACACGUGCUACAAUGGCGGUGACAACAGGCAGCGAAGGGGUGACCUGGAGCAAAUCCUAAAAAGCCGUCCCAGUUCGGAUUGUACUCUGCAACUCGAGUACAUGAAGUUGGAAUCGCUAGUAAUCGCGGAU
rnacentral:rRNA from 1 species